rnacentral:lncRNA from 1 species
GUCUGAAAAGCGCUUUAGAGGCUUAGAAAUAGGCGCAUUAUCUACCUGAGCGCCAGCGGGGCACCGAUCUGGGGCCAUUACCCCCCAAGGUGCUGGCCGCCAGGUGCUGAGGCUUGACGAGGAGGAGGAGGACCCGUAGGCAGAGGGCAGCUGAGCCGAGAGCCGGAGAAGCGCUGACAGCUUCCGACUGAGCAUGGUGGGGGGACUGUGUAAAAAAUACAGGUAGUCAGGGGCCCCUUAAGUCGUUUUCAGGUGCCUAACACUUAUUCUUUAGGCAGCAGGGAGACUUUGGAGAGUUUUAAGCAGGAGGUGAUAUCUGAUUUGUGUUCUUAAAAAAAAAAAGAAAGAAAGAAAUCACGGUCAGACUUGUGGUAGGAAAUGAAACCAGAAGCAGAACAACUUUCAUUUUCAUGGUGUCACUUUGAUCUCCAAGUCAGAGGAAUAGGCACACAGUUCUCUUUUUUUUUUUUUGCGUUUUAUGGCGGCACCCGUAGCAUAUGGCAGUUCCCAGGCUAGGGGUGGAAUAGGUGAACUCGCUGAAGCUCAGAGAGAUGCCCCUCCAUUCCCUUCUCAAGAGGGAGCUGUAAUUCAGCUGUAACAAAAUCAGAUUGUAGGGAAUCGGGUCUCUCAGUGUCAGCCCCAGUACCUUUGCACUGGCUGUCUGCUCUACCUGGAACUCUUCCCCUCUGCUUGGACCUUCUUACUCCCACUUCCUGCAGGCUCAGAUGUCCGUCCCCUCAUUAGAUGUCAACUGAUCACUCUGUGGAAUAGGAACCACCCACUACCCGGCUCUUUCGCAGGCAGGCACCAGUCCUCAUCUGCUCUGUCGUUGUCAGAGCACCUACAUCCAGCACUACCUUACACUGUUGGCGUGUUUACUUCUGGACUGUCGGCUCCCUCCACUAGAAUGUUAGAUUCAGUCGAGCGGGGCCUUUGUUUUGUUCACUUCUGGAUCCCUGGUACAUAAUAAAAUACUUGAUGAGUGAGUGAGGCUUUGGAUAUUGUAAAGUGAGGAAUUCUUUUUUUUUUUUUUUUAAUUGUCUUUUUGCCUUUUUUAGGGCCGCUCCUGCGGCAUAUGGACGUCCCCAGGCUAGGGGUCUCAUCAGAGCUGUAGCCGCCGGCCUACACCACAGCCACAGCAACUCGGGAUCCGAGCCACAUCUUCGACCUACACUACAGCUCAUGGCAAUGCCAGAUCCUUAACCCACUGAGCGAGGCCAGGGAUUGAACCCUCAACCUCAUGGUUCCUAGUCAGAUUUGUGAACCGCUGAACCACGAUGGGAACUCCAGGAAUUCUUAUUAAAAGUACAA